GCUCAGCUGGAUAGAGCGUCUGGCUACGGACCAGAAGGUCGGGGGUUCGAAUCCUCUAGCACACGAUCCA
rnacentral:tRNA from 1 species